CCACCGGAAAGCUGCGCUGUCACUGCGGAGUCCAUGAUUCUAUCGCCACUCUUGUCGUCGUGUUGUUCAGUCGUGUGCCAAGAGGAAGGUGCUGUCCAAAGAGAUGCGAUCUGUCAUUGCUCUUCACCACUGUGAGUUAAGCACAACCGAAGCUCACAGCCAUGUCAUCAGCCACACCCUUUCCGACGGAGCCACCAUCAUCAACCGUGAGCCUUGCCGUGAGGAAGAAUCUACUUGGCUACGAUGGAGCUAUUGGUUAUGCCCCAAAUUGGUUUGAUAUUAACAAAGUAGCUUAUUAAACAAAUGUGUAUGCUUAUGUGCAUUUUACUAAAAAUGAUGUGUAGAAAUGAAAUGUUUUGAUUGGUUUUCUAUUUUUUUCAUUUAUUGACAUGGCAGUUUCACAGGCUUCUAAAAGUCUGAUGUGUCAUUCCCUGGAGAGAAACUUGUGCUAUUAUUGUGUUUAUAACAAAGUCGCUUAUUAAACAAA